rnacentral:rRNA from 1 species
GAUGAACGCUAGCUACAGGCUUAACACAUGCAAGUCGAGGGACCGGCGCACGGGUGAGUAACACGUAUCCAACCUGCCCUUUACUCGGGGAUAGCCUUUCGAAAGAAAGAUUAAUACCCGAUAUAAAGGAUGGGGAUGCGUUCCAUUAGGUUGUUGGUGAGGGAACGGCCAACCAAGCCGUCGCUGGAUAGGGGUUCUGAGAGGAAGUGCCCCCACAUUGGAACGGAGGCACGGUCCAAUCUCGUACGGGAGGGAGCAGUGAAGAAUAUUGGUCAAUGGGCGUUAGCCUGAACCAGCCAAGUAGCGUAAAGGAUGAAGGGUUAUGGGUCGUAAACUUCUUUUAUAUAAGAAUAUGUAUUAUAUGAAUAAGGAUCGGCUAACUCCGUGCCAGCAGCCGCGGUAAUUC